UACGGGGGGGGCAAGCGUUGUUCGGAAUUACUGGGCGUAAAGGGCUCGUAGGCGGCCAACUAAGUCGGAUGUGAAAUCCCCAGGCUUAACCUGGGAAUUGCAUCCGAUACUGGAUGGCUUGAAUCCGGGAGAGGGAUGCGGAAUUCCAGGUGUAGCGGUGAAAUGCGUAGAUAUCUGGAGGAACACCGGUGGCGAAGGAGGCAUCCUGGACCGGCAUUGACGCUGAGGAGCGAAAGCCAGGGGAGCAAACGGG
rnacentral:rRNA from 1 species